rnacentral:misc_RNA from 1 species
GAAAUGCGAUAAGUAAUGUGAAUUGCAGAAUUCAGUGAAUCAUCGAAUCUUUGAACGCACAUUGCGCCCGCCAGUAUUCUGGCGGGCAUGCCUGUCCGAGCGUCAUUUCAACCAUCAAGCCCCCGGGCUUGUGUUGGGGACCUGCGGCUGCCCGCAGGCCCUGAAAACCAGUGGCGGGCUCGCUGUCACACCCAGCGUAGUAGCAAUCACCUCGCUCAGGGCGUGCUGCGGGUUCCGGCCGUUAAACAGCCUUACAAAACCCAAGGUUGACCUCGGAUCAGGUAGGAAGACCCGCUGAACUUAAGC